AGUUUGAAUUUUUCUGCUCCAAAACACUCGUCUUGCGCGCUAGUGAGCUCCCCAUCUACACUCGACCAAAGCUGCUGCUGAAGCUCUGGUUCAUCUCUCUCUCCCUCCAUCGUUCGUUAUUGGCCGACGCGGCUUUUCCUCCGCCGCUACACCUACAGCCACCGCAAGGUACAGUUUUUCCUUCUCCAAUUUCCCCAUCCCAAUCUGGGCCCUCUCCCUCUCUCUCUCUCUCUCUGACAUUAUCGUUCCACAUCCUCAGCUCGCUCUUGAUUUAACUAUGUUUAAGUCUUCUAGGAAGAUUAUGAAUUGAGAAAAAUGUUUAGAACUAUUCGAUAAAUAGGAAAUGAGGGAUUUCUAACCAAAAUGCUCUAUCCAAACGAGGGAUUUCAUAAGAAACCAUAACCCUUUCCCUUUCUUUUCUCAUGAAACCCUUCCAUCCAAAGGCGCUGUUAGAUUCCUGGUAAACACCGAGGAUGGAGACCAACAUUUUGAACUUGGCUCGUGUUGGUAGGUGUCUUGUAGUGGGUUAUCUUAAAAUAUCUGAGUGGAAAACCUUUGAGCUCUGGAUCCACUUGCCUUUGAUGGUUUUUGUUUUUGUUUUUGAUGACUUUGAUAAACCUACCUCGAAACGAUUAAUCCCAUUUCAGAUCUCUAGAACUUGUAUGUAAUGAAGAAUUUUGGCUCGUUCUGGGCUCUCUGGAAAUCCCAUCUGGACGGGAUUGAGGGCCGUCCGCGCAGUCCAUGUUAUCUAGUAAAAAAACCUAGGUCGCUGUAUUUUCCGUCGGUUGUCGGCGGGCCUGAUGCCUAUUAAUCAGUUUUUAGGGUUUAUGUUUAUUGUAUUGCACACAUAACAGCUUUUUCUGUGGGAGGCACGACAGAGACUAGAGCAUCACCAGCCCUGACUCUUUUCUUCUAGAGAUUUGGGUCAAAAGCUUGAUUUGGGUAAGUCAUUUUCAAUGUCAAACCCUUAUUUUUACCCAAAUCUAUUACUGAAUGACACACUUAUAAUUAAUGAGAGUGAAAAGAGGGUUUGAAAAAAAUGGGCAUGGGUUUGGGUCUCCCCAAAUUUAGGUGAGGAAAAGGGUGAAAUUCAAAAUAGGUAGGAAAUGGGUAUGACAUUGGAGAUGAUUUUUUAGGCUUUUUACUUAAAUUUUGGAUAUGGGUAAUAAAAUGGGUAAGGAUUGGAGAUGCUGUGAGGGAUCUCAUCAGUUAUCUCUGUAGCCCUCUGAACAUAUGUUUUCUUUCGUCUGAUUUUCCCGUGGAGAAGGUUUAUGACCCAAACCACGUAAAAAGUCUGUUUGUGCUAUGGGUUUGCUCUCUCUCUCUCUCUCUCUCUCUCUCUCUCUCUCCCCUGUGGUUUGUUCAUUUACAUAGCAUAAUCACAUCAGUUUUCUGUUUUGUUAACGCUUCCGCACAACAUGACACUCAUGGGAUGGGAGGACUUUUUUCCCUGUUGGAUAGAGUGGAGGCCAUCUAAGGGUAGGUCCUCUAAAGAAACUUAGUUUUGGGUAUCAACCUACUGAAAUUUGUGGUUAAGUUUGAAAAAAUACGGGUCACUUGUCCAGACAGGGCAUAAAGCAAAUGCUUUAGUUGCUUCAACUUUAUCUGCCUCUGCUCUCAUGAAAAGACAGGAUUAGAUUUCUAGUUUAUAAAAUGAGGAGGUAGAUUGCGGCACAGUUGCAUAUGUGGUGUUUUGCACUAAUCUAGUUUCCUUGUUUGAUGUUGUUGGGAAAAAUGUCCAGGGCCAACUUUUCUAUACAAGUUUGUUUUGGAAAUUUUGCUAUAGUGAUAUUAUAAUUAGUAAGCCUAUUUGAAAUCUGUAGAUUUCCUGCGAGUCUGUGACUAGUUUGGGUGGAUGCUAGUGCUGUCGAAUGGUUUUAAGGCAAGGAAUGGGUUUGUUGUAAAUGGAAUGGUUAGUUAUCAUAGGCGUAGACCUUCUAAUUGCUUAAUCUAUUUGAAUUUACCUAGUGCCAAAUGUGAUGGUUUCUGGUCUUGUGUUUGGUAUGGCUCUGGUUUGCAGCUGUAUCUUCGUCGUAAAAGAAGAGUGCAAUACUUUAGGUUCUAUCUUAUGUGGUUUUGAAUCUUUUGAUGUUGGCUUCCUUUCCAUAGAUCUAUACAAGUAAUAUGGGGUUGAAACUUGAAAGCUUUAUUCGCAGAUAGAAAUGUGAAUAGUGAGGAUUUCAGUGAUUCAGUUUAGCAUUGGUUGGUUUAAUUUUCAUAUGCCUUCUCUUUUCCUUAUGAGAAUUGGAAUUGGCCUUCUUUCACCACCGUCAUUCUCUUUCCAUUUGUUUCUUUUCAUUCUAUAACAGGGAUGGAUUUGCAAGCAGACCUUGCUCUUCCCGUAAUCAGCCUCUUCCAGUUGCUGAAGGCCGGAAGAAAAAACCCGAAAAGAAGUAGAAAUGCUUCACCAUCUUCUCCUUGGACACAAGAGUCAAUCAACCUAGCAGAAGAUGAUGUCUCGCUCGAUACCUAUGCGCUUUGGAGAGACCGAUAGGCAGUGAGGCUGAAAAGGGACGGUUGAAAAAAGUAAAGAGCCAUGGUUGUGCAAGUUCUCAAAUCAGGGAGUUAUUGAAUGAGAUGCUCGAAGAAAGAAAAAGAGUAUUCAAGAUGCAAGUCGAAAUGUUUGAGAAACUCUACCGUAAUCAAGCUGAAGAGAUUUGAAUAGAGCGAUUGAGAGACGAGCGUAGAAUCAUGAUGUUGGAUUCAAGUGGGAUGUCUCCAAUGCUGCAAGAGUAUUAUCGUCUACGCAAAAAGGAAAUCAUUGACGGUCAGAAGAAGCAGUAAUUAAGUGAGGACAAAUGUGACGUUUCCAAAGGACUCAUGUCCAGCUUGGGAGGCAUCUAUGAUUAGUGAAUGUCUAUUUGUGUUUUUGCGGUCACCAGAAGAUGCAUGCAGGAAAUGGGAAGUUUGAGUCAUUGUGUGCAAGCAGAAGACCCGUGCACGGCACCCGGGUGAGGGGGUGUAGGCGCCCCAGCGACAACGGGCACGGACACCUUGGUGUGAGGUGCAGCCAAAUUCAGACUCGCAAAGACGAUGGGCAUCCCAGCAGGGGUAUGGGUUAUGUACGGAGCAUUCUCUCAGUUUGUGAAAGAGUCUAGCCCCAUUUUGUUUUCUUAAAUAAGUAUUUAAAAAAUAAAGAUCUAUUUUCAAGCUUAAAAAUAAUGGACUUACGAAAAUAAUUUUUUACUAAUUUUAUUGCAGGGUUUGAUAGAUUUCGAUUUAAACAAUAUUUAUAUUGCAUAUUUUUUUAUUUCAAUAAAUCUACUAUUUUUAAUCUUAAAAAUUGUAAAUAAGUACUUAUUUUUUAAGGACCAAAAGCGGAAGGGGUUGGAUUUUUUUCCCUUUAAUGAGAGAGUGGGACAAGGAGGGACCCCAGCCAUCUGCAUCAGUAGCCCGAGUAAUCUCAGGCGCCAUUCGACGCCACCCACAUUUUGUUGUUGAGCCUUUACUAAGCUAUGGCACAUUUUAUUUCCAAUUUCUUCUAUCAAGUAUUUGCUUAUAUA